CCCUUAGAUGUCCUGGGCCGCACGCGCGCUACACUGAGUGUCUGAGAUACGAGUCUGCCUGGUCUGGCAAGGUCUAGGUAAUCGCUAAAAGACACAUCAUGCUUGGGAUAGAUUAUUGCAAAUAUUAAUCUUGAACGAGGAAUUCCUAGUAAGCGCAAGUCAACAGCUUGCGUUGAUUACGUCCCUGCCCUUUGUACACACCGCCCGUCGCUACUACUGAUUGGAUGUUUAAGCGAGGUUCUCGAACUGCUAGCGACUUAGCUUCGGUGAGGUCGCAGUGUGGGAAGUGAACCUAGCUUUGGUGUCUAGAGGAAGUAAAAGUCGUAACA
rnacentral:rRNA from 1 species